rnacentral:rRNA from 1 species
AUUGAACGCUGGCGGCAUGCUUUACACAUGCAAGUCGAACGGUAACAGGGUGCUUGCACCGCUGACGAGUGGCGAACGGGUGAGUAAUGCGUCGGAACGUGCCGAGUAGAGGGGGAUAACGCAGCGAAAGUUGUGCUAAUACCGCAUACGUACUGAGGUAGAAAGGGGGGGACCUUCGGGCCUUACGCUAUUCGAGCGGCCGACGUCUGAUUAGCUAGUAGGUGAGGUAAAGGCUCACCUAGGCGACGAUCAGUAGCGGGUCUGAGAGGAUGGUCCGCCACACUGGGACUGAGACACGGCCCAGACUCCUACGGGAGGCAGCAGUGGGGAAUUUUGGACAAUGGGCGAAAGCCUGAUCCAGCCAUGCCGCGUGUCUGAAGAAGGCCUUCGGGUUGUAAAGGACUUUUGUCAGGGAGGAAAUUCCUAGUGCUAAUAACACUGGGGGAUGACAGUACCUGAAGAAUAAGCACCGGCUAACUACGUGCCAGCAGCCGCCGUAA